AACAGCAAAACAGCUGCAUCGAUAUCCCACCAGUUGGAGACUCCGAUUCCAACAGCACAUCACAACAGGAAAUAUUAUCUAAUCUUGGAGGAUCGCGGAUGGGAAUUCAUGAUUUUUCUGCUUGGAGAGAUAGCAGAAAUGAGAUGCUAUACCUCAGUCUUGGCUCCAAUAUACCAUCUGGAAUUGGAAUUUCACAUGUCCAUUCUCAGAAUCCUAACCAUUGGAGAGAUAGCAGGAAUGAGAUGCUAUACCUCAGUCUUGGCUCUAAUAUACCAUCUGGAAUUGGAAUUUCACAUGUCCAAUCUCAGAAUCCUAGCCAAGGUCUUACGUCAUUCUUGAAUCCUGCUUCAUCUAUUCCAGGUGAAGUUAGUGGUGGCAAUGUGUCCUUCGG
rnacentral:lncRNA from 1 species